rnacentral:rRNA from 1 species
AGUCGAACGAAGCGCUUAAAUGGAUUUCUUUGGAUUGAAGUUUUUGCGACUGAGUGGCGGACGGGUGAGUAACGCGUGGGUAACCUGCCUCAUACAGGGGGAUAACAGUUAGAAAUGACUGCUAAUACCGCAUAAGCGCACAGUGCUGCAUGGCGCAGUGUGAAAAACUCCGGUGGUAUGAGAUGGACCCGCGUCUGAUUAGCUAGUUGGUGGGGUAACGGCCUACCAAGGCGACGAUCAGUAGCCGGCCUGAGAGGGUGAACGGCCACAUUGGGACUGAGACACGGCCCAAACUCCUACGGGAGGCAGCAGUGGGGAAUAUUGCACAAUGGGGGAAACCCUGAUGCAGCGACGCCGCGUGAGCGAAGAAGUAUUUCGGUAUGUAAAGCUCUAUCAGCAGGGAAGAAAAUGACGGUACCUGACUAAGAAGCACCGGCUAAAUACGUGCCAGCAGCCGCGGUAAUACGUAUGGUGCAAGCGUUAUCCGGAUUUACUGGGUGUAAAGGGAGCGUAGACGGUUGUGUAAGUCUGAUGUGAAAGCCCGGGGCUCAACCCCGGGACUGCAUUGGAAACUAUGUAACUAGAGUGUCGGAGAGGUAAGCGGAAUUCCUAGUGUAGCGGUGAAAUGCGUAGAUAUUAGGAGGAACACCAGUGGC